rnacentral:rRNA from 1 species
UCUAACACUGGCCGNCGUUUUAAAAGCCUAACACAUGCAAGUCGAACGGCAGCACAGGAGAGCUUGCUCUCUGGGUGGCGAGUGGCGGACGGGUGAGGAAUACAUCGGAAUCUACUUUCGUGGGGGAUAACGUAAGUGGAAACUUACUGCUAAUUACCGCAUACGACCUACGAGGUGAAAGCAGUGGUGAUCUUCUGAGGCCUUGCGCGAUUAGAAUGAGCCAGAUGUCAGAGAUUAGACUAAGUUAGGCGAGGGUAAAGGCCCACCAAGGGCAGACUGAAUCCGUAAGCUAGGUCUGAGAGGAUGAUCAAGCCACACUGGAACUGAUGACAACAGGUCCAAGACUCCUACG